rnacentral:rRNA from 1 species
GAUCCUGGCUCAGGACGAACGCUGGCGGCGUGCCUAACACAUGCAAGUCGAACGAAGCUUGACGAAUGAUUUCUUCGGAAUGAAAUCUGAUAUGACUGAGUGGCGGACGGGUGAGUAACGCGUGAGCAACCUGCCCUUCGGAACGGGAUAGUGUCUGGAAACGGACAGUAAUACCGUAUAACGUAUUUUUACCGUCAUGAUAGAAAUACCAAAACCUAGAGGUGCCGAAGGAUGGGCUCGCGU